CUGAAGCCUUCUCUGCUCCAGGCUGAGCAACUUCAACCUUCAGCCUGUUUUCAUAGGAGAGGUGCUCCAGUGCUCUGGUCAUCUUCAUGGCCCACAUCCUUAUUGUGUUGGGGGUCCUGGAGCUGGACACAGUAGUCCAGGUGGGCUUUCACAAGAGCAGAGUAGAGGGGUAGAAUCACCUCCCUUCACUUGCUGGUCACACUGCUUUUUAUGCAGCCCAGGACACAACUGGCUUUCCAGGCUGCAAGAGCACAUUCCUGGGUCGUGUUGAGCUUCUCAUCCACCAGCAUCCUUAAGUUCUUCUCUCCAGGGCUAAUUCUCUGCCCAUCCUGUCCUUGUGCUUGUGAUUGCCCCAGCCCAGUGCAGGACCUUGCACUUGGCCUUGUCAAACUUCACGAAGUUUGCACUGAUUCACCUCUCACGCGUGUCCAGGUCCCUCUGGAUGGCAUCCCAUCUGUCCAGUGUGUUGACAACACCAAACAGCUUGGUGUCAUUAGCAAAUUCGCUGAGGGUACAUGGAAUCCCAUGUCUCUGAAAAAGAUGUAAAACAGUGCCAGUAUAGGGCGCUAUUCUUUGCCAGAAAAUAAGGAUUACCUCUGUCAAAAAUGUAUUUAUGCUGCUCCACAGAGAAGGAGUGGCCAAAUGCAGAAAAACACUUUUGCAGAGAUCUGUUUAUUUGUGGGAAAACAGUUAAAGGGGAAAUUGAAACUUGAUUUUGCCCUUUUUUGUCAUCAGCAAUAGCUAUCAGGUAGGAAUUUGGAUAUAAAAAAUGUUGUGGGAAGAGAAACAGAACUUCUUUUUAGCCAUGUGAUGACAUUAUAUGCUCUCUUGAUAAUAAUGUGAUAUGGAAAGAAUUACUGAUAUUCAUGAAGGUGAAGGAAAACAGACAUGCCUGCCACCCACCCACACUUCAUCCUGUUCUUAUCACAGGUAUUACUUUUAGCACAUUCUUCUUGGCAACAGUAAUGAAAAAAUAGGUGAAAAGCCAUUAGCAAAAACUCCUCCUUUUCAUCUUGCAGGGGAAUGGUGCUAAAGACAAUAUAAUACAUGAUUUGCUUGAAAACAGCCUUUCUAAAAGCAUUGGUUAUAUUUUUGGAGCUACAGUGCAGGAGGCAAUUUGGGAUUCUUCAAGCUGGUUCUGUGACUUCCUGUUGAUGAAAUUGAAGAGGGAGUAUGUUGCAAAGGCAGUUGACAUUUAAUUCAUAUUGAUGGACAACUGGGAUGCCAAUCUAAACCUGUCUUCUUUGUUUUAAAGCCAUUCCCUCCUUGUCCUCUCACUAUAUGCCCUUGUAAAAAGUCCCCUUGAAAAAUCUUCAAAUACAAGCUCUUCAAAAUUUGAAUAUAUUUAAUGGCAGGAAUUUUACAAGUAAUUUAAUAGAAAUUAUUAAGUAAUUAUUAGAGGCGCUUUUUUUGCUUUUUUUUUCUGCUAGCAGUGGGUAAGCUCAUUCUGGGAGUCUGAGUCCAGCAGGUUAUGACUGAGGCUGCUCAGACCAUGGUUUGGGACCAGCAUCAGCAGAUGAAAUCCCUGCUUCUGUUUUGCAUCUUCUGCUGUGUGGCAGAGCUGCUUUUUGCAGCUGCACGGUGAACUGGAUUCAGGAAGAUAGAAAACUUCUUGGUUGUUUUUUUUAUUCCCUCUGGGUUUUUUCAGCUGAACAUGAACUCAGCUCCACUUCAUCCUAGACUUGUGGCAAAUAUAAAUGCCACACUUGGGUGUAUCAUCUGGAGGGGAAGAUUUCUGUUGGUUUAAAUAUUGCAACUUCAGAGUGUCUAAGGUCAGAGAGAUGUCAAUAAAUUUCCUAGUUCCUAGGGACUCUAUCUUUCAGUCUGUCCAGUGUUCUGUUUUCUCUUCUUAAAUGUUUGUAUGUAUUUGCUUGACAUCUCCAUAAUCCCAAGGAUCCAGCUCCCUGAGCUGUGCAGAACCAAGACUUGCACCUCUGGGUACAGGCUCAUAGGAUGUCCUCAGGCAAAGCUAAAGCAUACAGCUGUGGCACAGAGAUAUGCACAAGAAACAACAUAAUUAUUUACACUGUAAAUGCUCUGUUCCCUUUGUGUUAUUUCCAAUAUUCCCAACAUACUUUGCUGGCUUCCCUUGUAAUACAAAAAUUAACAUGGCAGUUAUAGCAAACUCCUUCCAUGAAUGGCACAGAGUUUCACUGAAGUGUUUCUUUUCUUGCCUUCAUCUUAAACCUAAAACCAGGCAAACAAUGUUUCUGUGACACAGUAAGAGAGGUGGUAUGAGAGAAUUUGUCUCCAGAGACUGCAGUGCAUUCUCAGCUCUAUCAACCGGAGGCAUUUUGUCCUCUGUGAAAACUGUUUUUCAUAUCCUCUCCUGUCCAUUCCUUGGCUUUUAUAUUGUUGUAGGGCCUGAUUUUGCAGACAGUGAUGUGGGAAAUGGAUUAGCUCAUGGGCAGACUCAGGUUUGAGCUUGGAGUGGAAAUUAUACACCUAAUAAGACAUGCAUCUAAAGCUGUUGUAUCGAGUGUCUCCCCAUUCUCCCUCCCAGCUGCUUUAUGUCUUCAUAAACUGACAAAGUGAGGUAAGCUUUCCCACUUGUACAUUUCUUACACAAACCUGUAAUGACACCUGUGUUUUUUCCUCUAAAGGUUUGCAUUGACUGGGAUGGAAACCACCUUACAGCUGAAGCAAUCUGUAUUUUGACCAUUUUCCCUUCAUGUGCGUUCCAGUUAAAAUACCAUCAAAAGUACAGCUGGAUAGUCUUUUGUAGAAAGAGUAAUUCCUAUUCUUUUCUACUUUCCAGCUGUUUCUUCGUGUUUUACCUCAGAUCCACCUCUCCUCAGUCUCGGACAAUGCUCUUGUCAUUUAUGGAUGCCCUUUGUCUGUGUCAGCUGCUCAGUCUGCAGAGUUUCUCCUGCCUCGAGAAAUGUUCAGAAACGUUUGAUGAUGUGUAAAUAAACUGUAAGUUUUCCUCAUUUACUUGUGGUGACCAUUUCCACCCAGCUCAGACUGUAACCAAGCCUGGUACUGAGGCUUACCGGGGCAGCAAGAAAAAGUGAAGAGCUUAGAAACUGAAGAUGGGGGAAACCAAAAUCAAUCCAGGACACUUGCUAUUUUCUGAUUGAACUUCUAAAAGAAACUCAACGAACAAGCCAAGAAUCCACCAUGACGAGCGAAAUAUACUCAUGUGUAGCACUUCAUAUAUGUCAUUAACUACUUGAAUGGAAAUCUAUGCUUUCCUUACAGCAAAAGAACAUCUGUCUGGGGCUCAGUGAGCUGUUGCCACAGUGCAUGUAAAGAGGGGCAUUGUUUUUCUUUGAGAUUUUCUUUAAAUAAAUGGGUUUGGCUUAAUGUAUUAGGUAAGAAAGUAAUAUUUUGGGAUUUGUAACCAGCUGCCAGUUGUAUUUCUUUUUUUUACUGGGAGCACAACACAAGUGUUUUCCUCUCUGCCAACCAGUACGUGUUGCUGGCGGGGAAUGACAGAUGCUGCCACGGGUGGCUCUGAGGAAGGCUGUGCAAUUCCAAUCUCAAGACUGUCAUGAGGAGGCACGAUGAGUCCCCUGCCCUAUUCUCAUUACUAUUUGCGACAUCGGAAUGAAUCUGUCUCAUACCACGAGGUGUUCUUGUUGUUGUAAUCCUUAUUGUAGGCUUACAGAACAAGAAAGAAGAGCAAAAGAAAGAUAAGACCUGAUUUCAUGUGGGAACCUUUUGGAAAGCAUGUCAGUGACACAUUAAUAUAAUUAUUAAGGUAAAGAGACCUGGCUAAGGUGGGAGAUUGCAAAUGUAAAUACCCUGAUGAGGCUGAAUGCUGAGGAUCCUCUGGGGAUAUCAGGUAUUUUUGCUUACUUGAGCAAAAUCCAAAAUAAUGCUGUUGGUUUAACAAUUAAAUAGAAUAAAGACCGUGAUCUUGGUGUGUAGAAAAAGACCUUUUGGGUACAGGAGAGAAAUACAUGUCCUCUGAAUAUUUUCAGCAUGUCUCCCUCAGCCCAGUUCAGUUGCUUGUGUGGAAUCAGUGAUGAGAGUUUGAAUUUAUACAUACAAGUACUCAGAGUGAAGCUCUGAGGACAGAAAAGGAAGGAGAUGAGAAGUAAGUGCAUGGAAAUGGAAGGAAAAUAUUGGCACAGUGUCCUCUGAAGGAGCAACGCUGCAUUUGCACAACUCUGAUGGAAACUUCACCGUAUCACUUGGAUACCACGUUUAGGAAGCAGCUUGUGUCAACCUUAGGUAUGGAUUGAGACAGUGAAGCCAGAUAUGACCACUUAGUUAGGUGGAGGAUAAUCCUUUUUCUUUUCCUAUUUAUGCUGGCCUGCAGCAAAGUCCCUCAAUAUGGAAUUUGAUUUUGAUGGUGGCGUUUUGAACCCUCUUUCUAUGCUUUUUUUGCUUCAAGAAAUAAUAAGGUCUAGAUAAAGUUGGAAUAGCUGCCUGGUAAUGAGAUCAUUAUAUAUAAGUACUGAAUUGUUCUCAGGGGCUAUAAUGAUUCCUCAGCCCAGGUAGGCAGCACAGAAUUAUUUACUAUGCACAGUCUGUCUUAAGAUCUACGUUUACAGUGCUUAAGCACAUAAAGCCCUUCAGCAUAAAGUUCAAGUAAGAGAAUAUGCAUGAAUGGGAAUAUGUUAUUUACAGCUUAUAUUAUGAGAUGGAAUGCACUGGGACUGGUUAUUUACUUUUCCUGUGGAAUUUUAAAGAAUUUUGACAGAAAAGACAAAGAAGUAAGAGAGGAGAUGCUAAAGGAAGAAGAACAUACCAGUGCUGUGUGACGGCAGCUUCCUUUUGACAGCCAUCCCCUUUGCACAGCAGCCUGUGGGAAUUAACAGGUGGUAAUGGCAUUGCCUGGGAUGGAGAUGUGGUGAGAAGCCUGGUCCCUUCUGCCUCCGAGAGGCAGAAACGCUCAGAGCUGUCCUUGUGCCUGGCCAUGGGCUGGGGCACAGGCUGCCCCUUGUGCCAUGGGACGUGCACACGGAACCUGGGGACAGCCCUGGUUUGGGGAUAGACAGGGAACUGGGUUUGAUUUCCUGAUCUGCUACGUGUUUCUGAAGUGAUUUUUGUCUCUACCUUACAAAUGGUAAAGAGAGAUAAAGAGAGACAGACCGAUCCUGUGUGCAUCCCGCUCCUUGAGUUUACACCUCUGAGAUAAAACUAUCAAAAGUGCUUCAGAGAGAGUGAGGGCAAGUGCAUUAAAGAUUAUGAGGUGUUGAGAUGUGAAGAUGAGGGGGAUGAGUAAAUGCUGGUAACAGGUUCAUUGCCUCUUAUGUCUAUACAGACAGGAUAGGGUCGAUAAAAGUAACAGGCAGCCCUGGGCUUGUUACCAUGGUUAUGUGCUCUGUCUCCACUGAAAUCACCUGAGUUACAGCUACUAUGUAAGUAAUAGGGAGUCCUGAUGCUGUUCAUAAUAAUGAGAGAAAACACGCCCUAUCAAAAAAAUAUGUCAACUGCAUGCAGAAAAGCUGCAGGAGAGGCAUAUUCUGUGGACAUACUUGCUUUUAGUGAGCUUAUGUAGGUCCAUAUGCUGAAGAUUACAUCCAAGUGUACCUCUGAGUUUCAAAAUUUCUAAUUAUUUUGCUGUGCCAAUAGACAAAUUUGAGAUGUAGUGUUUGAUCUCUGUCACACAGGCUCUGUAGGAUGUCCUCUGUGUAUUUUCCCUGAUGUCUAGGCUUAUUAUAUUUUUACCCUGAUUUGAUAAAACAAGCUGUCUUUAUUAGAACAGAACCAUUCCUGGAGAAAAUGGAUAAAGUAUGCGUGUAAGUUGCUUUAUUUUUUGCAAGCCUUGUCAUAGCAGUAAAACAGAUGUGUGCCUGGAAUAGCAAACUAACAGAAGUACUUGGAUGACUGAAGUACUUGGAUGACUGAAGGCAGGAAGGGGAAGACAUCUUGAGCUGCCAAACUCCUACAGCCAGCCCUAGGAACUAAGAUCCUGCUGUCACUGUCAAUAUAAAACUCUUUAGUCUGGCAUUUAAUGUGCCUUAAGAUGAAAAGCUAUAUUUAAAUUAAUAAUCCUAAUUUUUUUUAAUGUGUGAAGUAAGUGGAUUUUAGGAUUCCCAUACACCUGCCUGGCACUAUGGAUGGCAAAUGGAUUUGUUUCAGCAAACUCAAAGGAUUCAUAGGACUUGCUGCUCCUCGAAGAGAGCUUCUGUCAGUCCAAAGAAAGAAAUACUACACACACACACAAAAAAAGAAUUGUAGGGACCUGUUUCAGGGGAUAUGAAACAGGUCCAGUCACCCUGCGCUGCAUGAAUGGAGGGACUGAAAAACAUUACGGAAGCCUUUUUAAUCCCAGAGAAAUGAAAAAGGCCAUGGCUUUUUCUUAACAGAACAUGAAGGUUUUUAUUUCUUCUUUAUUCCUUUUUAGGGUCUCUUGGACCUCCUCAAUGGGCCUGCUUCAAAGUCUGAAAAAUGAACUCACCCCUUCUGGCAAAGUCUGGCCUGGGCAGCAACAAAUCUGCUUCUCUGUUUCAGUCUCAACACCUAAAGCUCUGUCAAAAUAAAAACCCGCACCCAUGGGAUGACAAUAGGUUAUGAAAACCUUCUUCUUUUCUUCUGCCUAACCUGGAAAGCUUUUCAGUGUUAAUUAGGCUACUGUAAGGAUUAGGAAAUGACAUUUUGUAAAUCGAUUGGCACCUGGAAAAGUGGCAUCCAAGAUGACUGUGGCCUGUACCCGCUGUGCCAAGCCACUACACCCUAGGUCUUUUUCUCAGCUGCCAUCCUGAUGUUGAUUCAUCUGGAGUAGGAGAGAACUGCCCUGGCUCUGAAGAAUGAAUGCAUCCCAUUCUACUUGUGCACCACUGCCCAAAUCUUGGUUUUGCAAAGCAAGAAACUCUGCAUUGUGCUGUCAGCAUUUUCUCCUUCUUGCAGCAUUAUAUAAACUUCAUAGCCAAUUUCCUAAAAAAAAUUAGGGUUGCUUACUUUGCUACUCCCUUAAUAGCCCUUCCCUUUGGUUCUGCUUUCUCUUUGAGAGAGGCCACGGAAAAGCUGCAGUGGUGCCUGCUUGGUUUUUGUUUGUAUGUUUAUUUGCCUGACAUUAUCCCAAAAUUAAUUGUAAGGGAGGUAAAUGGUGUGAGGGGAGUUCACUGGGGUUAAAUGGUCAAGAGAUUUCGGAGUCAUGUAUUUAACCUGGUGGAGAAACUGAGUUCUCAACAUGCAAACAACUGCUUUCCAAGUAAAUUAGACGCUACUACCUGA